CUCUCUCCUGGAAUCCGCUGAGCUGUUUUAAUCUGGACUGGUGCCCAGAACCCCCUUUGCCUCAUUUGGGAUACAGCCUACGAGAGAAAUUAGUCUUUGCUCACCUUCGUAGAGAAAAUCUUCAGUGCAAAAGGUCUUCGGUGGCACAAACAGAUGAGACCUCUCUCUGUCCUCACAACACAGGAAGCAGCUAGGACAACAGGAGACAUGACUGUGGAGGCAGGAUGGCGGCACAGAGCCACAGUUCCCCUGCAGGGGUGGAAGCCCGCCUUCAGGAAGUGGGGAAGGCCCCUACCCACCACAGGCAGUCACCAGGGUCCAGUUUUAGCAAGAAUCCUGCUAAGGCACUUUAGCUGGGAUGCUCCACCUUCCGCAGCUGACCACUUCCAUAUCUGACCAGUGCAGCAUCCGCCACGUGAUAUCUGAUCACUCUAGCCUACCUUCAGCAAGAAUCCUGUUAGGCCAGGUAGCAGAGAAUUAUCCCACCUUCUUCUAAAUUUUCUAUCCAUCCACCCCCACCCCCAC